rnacentral:rRNA from 1 species
UACGUAUGGGGCAAGCGUUGUUCGGAAUUACUGGGCGUAAAGGGUGCGUAGGCGGGGCGCUAAGUUGGAGGUGAAAUCUUGCGGCUCAACUGCAAGACUGCCUCCAAGACUGGCGCUCUUGAGUACGAGCGAGGAGAACGGAAUUCCUAGUGUAGGGGUGAAAUCUGAAGAUAUUAGGAAGAACACCGGUAGCGAAGGCGGUUCUCAAUCUCGAUACUGACGCUGAGGCACGAAAGCCAGGGGAG